rnacentral:rRNA from 1 species
GGGUUGUGAGGUUAAGCGACUAAGCGUACACGGUGGAUGCCCUGGCAGUCAGAGGCGAUGAAGGACGUGCUAAUCUGCGAUAAGCGUCGGUGAGGUGAUAUGAACCGUUAUAACCGGCGAUUUCCGAAUGGGGAAACCCAGUGUGAUUCGUCACACUAUCAUUAACUGAAUCCAUAGGUUAAUGAGGCGAACCGGGGGAACUGAAACAUCUAAGUACCCCGAGGAAAAGAAAUCAACCGAGAUUCCCCCAGUAGCGGCGAGCGAACGGGGAGGAGCCCAGAGCCUGAAUCAGUGUGUGUGUUAGUGGAAGCGUCUGGAAAGGCGCGCGAUACAGGGUGACAGCCCCGUACACAAAAAUGCACAUAUUGUGAGCUCGAUGAGUAGGGCGGGACACGUGGUAUCCUGUCUGAAUAUGGGGGGACCAUCCUCCAAGGCUAAAUACUCCUGACUGACCGAUAGUGAACCAGUACCGUGAGGGAAAGGCGAAAAGAACCCCGGCGAGGGGAGUGAAAAAGAACCUGAAACCGUGUACGUACAAGCAGUGGGAGCCUCUUAAUGGGGUGACUGCGUACCUUUUGUAUAAUGGGUCAGCGACUUAUAUUCUGUAGCAAGGUUAACCGAAUAGGGGAGCCGAAGGGAAACCGAGUCUUAACUGGGCGUUAAGUUGCAGGGUAUAGACCCGAAACCCGGUGAUCUAGCCAUGGGCAGGUUGAAGGUUGGGUAACACUAACUGGAGGACCGAACCGACUAAUGUUGAAAAAUUAGCGGAUGACUUGUGGCUGGGGGUGAAAGGCCAAUCAAACCGGGAGAUAGCUGGUUCUCCCCGAAAGCUAUUUAGGUAGCGCCUCGUGAAUUCAUCUCCGGGGGUAGAGCACUGUUUCGGCAAGGGGGUCAUCCCGACUUACCAACCCGAUGCAAACUGCGAAUACCGGAGAAUGUUAUCACGGGAGACACACGGCGGGUGCUAACGUCCGUCGUGAAGAGGGAAACAACCCAGACCGCCAGCUAAGGUCCCAAAGUCAUGGUUAAGUGGGAAACGAUGUGGGAAGGCCCAGACAGCCAGGAUGUUGGCUUAGAAGCAGCCAUCAUUUAAAGAAAGCGUAAUAGCUCACUGGUCGAGUCGGCCUGCGCGGAAGAUGUAACGGGGCUAAACCAUGCACCGAAGCUGCGGCAGCGACACUAUGUGUUGUUGGGUAGGGGAGCGUUCUGUAAGCCUGUGAAGGUGGCCUGUGAGGGUUGCUGGAGGUAUCAGAAGUGCGAAUGCUGACAUAAGUAACGAUAAAGCGGGUGAAAAGCCCGCUCGCCGGAAGACCAAGGGUUCCUGUCCAACGUUAAUCGGGGCAGGGUGAGUCGACCCCUAAGGCGAGGCCGAAAGGCGUAGUCGAUGGGAAACAGGUUAAUAUUCCUGUACUUGGUGUUACUGCGAAGGGGGGACGGAGAAGGCUAUGUUGGCCGGGCGACGGUUGUCCCGGUUUAAGCGUGUAGGCUGGUUUUCCAGGCAAAUCCGGAAAAUCAAGGCUGAGGCAUGAUGACGAGGCACUACGGUGCUGAAGCGACAAAUGCCCUGCUUCCAGGAAAAGCCUCUAAGCAUCAGGUAACAUCAAAUCGUACCCCAAACCGACACAGGUGGUCAGGUAGAGAAUACCAAGGCGCUUGAGAGAACUCGGGUGAAGGAACUAGGCAAAAUGGUGCCGUAACUUCGGGAGAAGGCACGCUGAUAUGUAGGUGAAGCGACUUGCUCGUGGAGCUGAAAUCAGUCGAAGAUACCAGCUGGCUGCAACUGUUUAUUAAAAACACAGCACUGUGCAAACACGAAAGUGGACGUAUACGGUGUGACGCCUGCCCGGUGCCGGAAGGUUAAUUGAUGGGGUUAGCGGUAACGCGAAGCUCUUGAUCGAAGCCCCGGUAAACGGCGGCCGUAACUAUAACGGUCCUAAGGUAGCGAAAUUCCUUGUCGGGUAAGUUCCGACCUGCACGAAUGGCGUAAUGAUGGCCAGGCUGUCUCCACCCGAGACUCAGUGAAAUUGAACUCGCUGUGAAGAUGCAGUGUACCCGCGGCAAGACGGAAAGACCCCGUGAACCUUUACUAUAGCUUGACACUGAACAUUGAGCCUUGAUGUGUAGGAUAGGUGGGAGGCUUUGAAGUGUGGACGCCAGUCUGCAUGGAGCCGACCUUGAAAUACCACCCUUUAAUGUUUGAUGUUCUAACGUGGGCCCCUUACCGGGGUUGCGGACAGUGUCUGGUGGGUAGUUUGACUGGGGCGGUCUCCUCCUAAAGAGUAACGGAGGAGCACGAAGGUUGGCUAAUCCUGGUCGGACAUCAGGAGGUUAGUGCAAUGGCAUAAGCCAGCUUGACUGCGAGCGUGACGGCGCGAGCAGGUGCGAAAGCAGGUCAUAGUGAUCCGGUGGUUCUGAAUGGAAGGGCCAUCGCUCAACGGAUAAAAGGUACUCCGGGGAUAACAGGCUGAUACCGCCCAAGAGUUCAUAUCGACGGCGGUGUUUGGCACCUCGAUGUCGGCUCAUCACAUCCUGGGGCUGAAGUAGGUCCCAAGGGUAUGGCUGUUCGCCAUUUAAAGUGGUACGCGAGCUGGGUUUAGAACGUCGUGAGACAGUUCGGUCCCUAUCUGCCGUGGGCGCUGGAGAACUGAGGGGGGCUGCUCCUAGUACGAGAGGACCGGAGUGGACGCAUCACUGGUGUUCGGGUUGUCAUGCCAAUGGCACUGCCCGGUAGCUAAAUGCGGAAGAGAUAAGUGCUGAAAGCAUCUAAGCACGAAACUUGCCCCGAGAUGAGUUCUCCCUGACUCCUUGAGAGUCCUGAAGGAACGUUGAAGACGACGACGUUGAUAGGCCGGGUGUGUAAGCGCAGCGAUGCGUUGAGCUAACCGGUACUAAUGAACCGUGAGGCUUAACCUUACAACGCCGAAG